UUCCCUUCCAGGCUGCAUGCCUGUGUGUGUUGCUGAAGGGGGAAGUUGUUGCUUCAGGCUUCCCUCCCACUUAGUUUCUUGCAAGAAGAAAGUCCUGUGCAAAGGGAGGGCCUCACGGUGAGCCAGGCAGGUCUGGCGGGAAGCCCUUUCUCCAUGUCUUCUUCCUGGCUCAUCACCAGUCCAUGACCUGAGCCAAAGGGGGCUGGCAGAAGGGGUAAGUAGGGCUUUCCCCAUUUGUGAUAAUAGACAUUGGUGUGCUUUGUGGGCUUCUUCCUGCUUGUGCCUUUUAGGGUUCCCUGCAGUGAGUGGGCAUCUCUUACUGGGUUGCACAACUCUCUUCCCUUGUGGCCUGAGCUGCUGGCGCUGUGACUCUUAAUGCCCGACAGUCACAGAAGAGCAUCUGCAGAAGAGGCUGCCUUGGGACAGCUGGCUUGUACUCUUCUUUGCCCUGGCGCAGCCCAUCCCUCGGAAAGGCUGCAUUUCAAGCCCCCUGGAACAGCGGCAGGGAGCAUCCAGGGAGGGCUUGCACCCCAGAGAGGAGGCGUUGGGCUGGGCUCUGCUGGAGAAGGGCCCCAUUUGCUGGGGGGUGAGGAGGCGUCAGAGGCGUCCUUUGAACCAAGUGAAGGAACCCAGCUGGAGGCAAGGCUUUUCUUCCAGGGGUGCUUUCCCCAUUUCUUCAGGGAGAAAGAUUCACCAGCCCCACCCAGAGUGAAACUCCCUCCUCACAGUGAAGGCACAGAAUGAAAAAGCUUAUUUGUGACCUCCCAAAAAAACCUUCACCUGUGAAGCAGGGGCCCAUUCAGUGACCCCCAAGGACAGGCAGGCGGCUUGGAUGCUGCUUAGCACUCUCAGCUGCUCUAAUUUUUGUUUUCUGUGCUUAUCCAUUGUUUUUAGUGUAUAUAUUGUUGUGAGCUGUCUUGUAGACAUUUAAGUGGAAAGUAGUUGGAAAUGCUAAAAUAAUAAUUAAAUUCUGUUCAUAUGGCAGGCAGCAUUUUAUCAAGUAAACUGUAAAGUUUUAUUAUGUGCCAUAACCUUUAAAUCCUUCUUGGCAACUUUUUUUUGCUGAACUGUUUAGCCUCCAUGCUAUAUUUAUGUAUUUGAUUCUCAUCUAUAAGUAAUAAAUCAGUCCUGUUCUUUUUCAGUUUAAUUUAAUCUUAUCUUAUUGUCAUUCCAUUUCUUCAUUCUAUGAUAAAUAUGUUUGUUUGUUUUUUGCCUGUCAACUCCAUCCCCAUGCUUAUUUUAUAUUUUAUAAUAACUUUGAUAUUUAUUGGCUCCUCCUUUAUUAAAGUGAUUCAUUCAUGAAAACAUGGAAUGGCAUCAAAAUUGGGACUGACCCAGUAAAGUCUGAUGGGGUUAUAUUUGGGGCCGGGGGGAGGGCAUUGGUUACAGUUCUCAGGUGCAAAGGAGAAGAAGAUCUGGGCCUUGUGCUUAGAACAGUUAUAUAAAAGAGGGGUUUGGGACAGGUGUAUGACAAGCCACACCAUCCCAAAUUCCCUCUUCUACAACUGGUAAGAACCUCUUUAUUGUUUAUGUCUGGUUAUCCUGUAGGUUAUUUGUAUUUCUUCUGUGUGGUUUUUCAAAAGUGUCACAUUUUCUCCAGGAUGCUUGCAGGUUUUUCAAAACAAUGAUAAAAGAAACUUAGCUGCAGUAUAUAUCAAAGAUUGGGGGGGAUGUCAGUGUAGUUAAUAAGAAGAGUCAAGGAAGCUGUUUGCAGCCCCUGUAAAAGGUCUUUCAGAAAAUGGAAGUAUUGUCCAAAUAAAGAGAACAAAAAGGAGUACAAACUUUGCUCCUCCCAAAGUUGAAAAUAAGCGGUGCAUUUUAAAAUAUAUAUAUUAAGUAUAUAGAACAAACCUUUGCUGAAGAAGAAUCAGCAUGGCUUCUGCAAAAGUAGCUGCUGCCUCAGUACUCCGAUUAUAUUAAUAAGAGUUCUUUGAUUAUAUUAACAAGCACUUGAUUAAGGAUGGUCUGGUAGACAUUACACUCUUGAGAUUCCAAAGAAGCUGUGAGCAAGAUCCCUCACUGGUGGCUCCUGAGUCAACUUGGCAGUUGCAGGAUAAGUGUUCAAGUUCUCCUGUAGUCCUAGAGCAGGUUAAAUAGAGGAAGUAGAAGGUAGGAAUAAACAGGCAAUUUUCCCAAAGAAGGGAAGUGGCCAGAGGGUCAUGGGAGGCCUCUGAUGUGGGAGGUCCUGUUGCCCAUUCCUGGGAAUGUGCUUGCGCCUUAUAUGUAAGAAGGGAAUACAGGAUGUGAGCUGGGAAGGGUGAUGUCAUUCUGGCAUUCUGCCAUUGCCACAUGUCCGUUGGUGUCUUCCAUAGAAGGCUAAUGGAGGCUUGGUUGGUAUGCAGGGACCUCGUCGUCAGGAAGGGACUCUCUGUUGUCUUUGCUACACUUGCUUUGGUUUCUGCAGCGACUGAGGUGAUGGCUCUGCCACUAGUUGGCCAUAGGACGGCAUCUGUGUGGUGCUGAUGUUAGUCCUGACAUAAUGGCUUGUAGCAGAAGGAUAGGAUUGGUCUUCCUGAUACGUGGAAAAGAGGGCAGCUCUGCACAAGAAUUUCAGAGGAUGUGAGAAAGAUAAAAAGGAAAGCCUCUUUGUACACAAUAAAGCCCUCAAUGAUUCUUCAUUUUCCUAUUACCUCUGUGCUUUCCUGUAACAUCUAAUAUUUUUAAAGUAUUGAAAUACAAAAUACACAUAAUUUCAGAUUCUGCAGCAUAACAAAAUAAAAUUAGUUACAGGUAGGUAGCUGUGUUGGUUUGUCAUCGUUAAAACAAAGUAAAAAAAAUCCUUCCAGUAGCACCUUAAAGGUAAAGGUAAAGGGACCCCUGACGGUUAGGUCCAGUCAUGGCCGACUCUGAGGUUGCGGUGCUCAUCUCGCUUUAUUGGCCGAGGGAGCCAACGUACAGCUUCCGGGUCAUGUGGCCAGCAUGACUAAGCCGCUUCUGGCGAACCAGAGCAGCAUACGGAAAUGCCAUUUACCUUCCCGUCGGAGUGGUACCUAUUUAUCUACUUGCACUUUGACGUGCUUUCGAAUUGCUAGGUUGGCAGGUAUCUGAAGAAAUGUGCAUGCACACGAAAGCUCAUACCAAUAACAAACUUAGUUGGUCUCUAAGGUGCUACUGGAAGGAAUUUUUUUAUUUUGUUUCAAAAUAAAAUUGUGAAACUGCAUAAGUCAACAUUUCCCUAUUUGUGUAAUGUAUCACAGUUGCAGUGGGUGUGUUUUAUGGAGCUAUCCCAUAACAGUCAGCCUUCCUGACUUCUUUGCUCAUGCCAACUCCGUAGUUUAAUUUCCUCUGCAAGAAGGAGUCCUUCUGCCCUCCGUCACCUUACGAUAAGGGAAGCCUGGCCAUUGGGUUGCACAGAGUCAUCUAGAAAAGGGUGAAGUAUUCAGAUCUUGCUUUAAGGGCUUCUCCCUGCCCCUAUUGAUUGCAACCCGACCUCAUUGGAGCAUCUCUCCCCAGGGAUGACUGCAUUGCUCCUGCUUCCUUGGCAGCUAACUGCUCUUCUGUGAAAAGCAGGGAAUUUGAGCAUCUAAUGGAGC